UCGGGUGUCCAUAGCGGAGGGGAAACACCCGUUCCCAUCCCGAACACGGCCGUUAAGCCCUCCAGCGCCGAAAAUACUGCUCUGGUAACGGAGUGGGAAGAUAGGACGAUGCCCGGG
rfam:Armatimonadetes bacterium DC isolate DC genome assembly, contig: DCOP10_114